UACGUAGGGAGCAAGCGUUGUCCGGAAUCAUUGGGCGUAAAGCGCGCGUAGGUGGCCUCGUAAGUCCGCUGUGAAAGUCAAAGGCUCAACCUUUGAAAGCCGGUGGAUACUGUGAGGCUAGAGUACGGAAGAGGCGAGUGGAAUUCCUGGUGUAGCGGUGGAAUGCGCAGAUAUCAGGAGGAACACCAAUAGCGAAGGCAGCUCGCUGGGACGUAACUGACACUGAGGCGCGAAAGCGUGGGGAGCAAACAGG
rnacentral:rRNA from 1 species